UAUUUACUUCAUAAGAUUUAUAAGAGCCUUUUAAAUUGUUUUUCAGGAUUUAGGAUAGCAUCUGCUUAUUUCUAAUUGUUAUAGUUUUAUUUCUUUGACAUUUUAGCUCUAAAGUUGUAAUUAGUCUGUACACUUCUCUUUCUUUCAGCUAUACUUGGCUUUUUUCCUUUAUUUUAAUUUGAUCCUUAUUAAAUAUCUAAUGGCUUUUGUUAUAUCCUAUCUGAUUUAAUGUUACUUUUAGUGUUUCUUGGAACUUAAAUCUGGUUUGUAUCUUAUAUACUUAAUUUUUUUCCGAUUUUUCACGAAUCAUAUUAUUGUUCUAAUAUAUUAUUUACAGUGUUUCAUUAGCUUUUACUUCUAUUUCUUUAGUCUGUUAUAACAAAAGCACUAAAAUAUUUUAUUUUUUGAAAUAAAUUUGCAUAUCACACCUUAAAUAUUCAGUUCACUUAAAACAAUCUCAUGAAUAAUACAGUUUAAAUUAAAAUAUUUUACUUCUCCUAACAACGGGUUUUACAGCUUACAAGCUUAGGUAUUAACAUGCAUCAGUCUAUUUUACUUCAAGGAGUAGUGGUGACUUUUUUAGUGAGGUUUGGCUGGUGUUUCUGUUGGUGGAUUUACAGGUCUUCUGUCCUGCCUUUCUUUGCAGCUGAACCUGCUGGUGAAGGUGGUGCAGCUUCCCAAGCCACGUCAAGGACUGAGGCUGUGGGAGAUGCUGAGGGUGUGUCUGCAGGGAGGACUUCUCCAGCUCCUUUGCUGAUUCUUACACGGAAGCCUGCCUCCCAUCGCAGGGGUCCUCCGAGGGGAAAGAACAAAGCUACAGGACACCAGAAACCCCAUGAUCCAUUCGAAAACAUGAGGCAAAUGCUGAAGGAAAUGCAGCAGGCAGGACAAGUAGAUGGAGAGGCUGGGCAUAAGGCGGCGUUUCCCAGAGGAAGCAGGUGCUCCAUUCCAGACUCUGGUGCAGGAAGGGAGAUGAUGCCACGCACAGGCAGAGGAGGUAAUUGCUGUGCCUCUGGGCCUGAGCCCUGCUGAGGCUUGAGCUGCCCUCUCUGCUGUUUGGCAGUGCAGGCACAGCCUGGA